rnacentral:rRNA from 1 species
UACGUAGGGGGCAAGCGUUAUCCGGAAUUACUGGGUGUAAAGGGUGAGUAGGCGGCAUGGUAAACCAGAUGUGAAAGCCUUGGGCUUAACCCGAGGAUUGCAUUUGGAACUAUCAAGCUAGAGUACAGGAGAGGAAAGCGGAAUUCCUAGUGUAGCGGUGAAAUGCGUAGAUAUUAGGAAGAACACCAGUGGCGAAGGCGGCUUUCUGGACUGAAACUGACGCUGAGGCACGAAAGCGUGGGGAGCGAACAGG